rnacentral:rRNA from 1 species
CCUACGGGAGGCAGCAGUGGGGAAUAUUGCACAAUGGGGGAAACCCUGAUGCAGCGACGCCGCGUGAGUGAAGAAGUAUUUCGGUAUGUAAAGCUCUAUCAGCAGGGAAGAAGAAAGACGGUACCUGACUAAGAAGCCCCGGCUAACUACGUGCCAGCAGCCGCGGUAAUACGUAGGGGGCAAGCGUUAUCCGGAUUUACUGGGGGUAAGGGGAGCGUAGACGGCUGUGCAAGUCUGAAGUGAAAGCCCAGGGCUCAACCCUGGGACUGCUUUGGAAACUGUGGAGCUAGAGUGCUGGAGAGGUAAGUGGAAUUCCUAGUGUAGCGGUGAAAUGCGUAGAUAUUAGGAGGAACACCAGUGGCGAAGGCGGCUUACUGGACAGUAACUGACGUUGAGGCUCGAAAGCGUGGGGAGCAAACAGGAUUAGAUACCCCAGUAGUC